GUGAGGGGCCGUGAGGGGCCGUGAGGGCAGUUACUGACGUUGUGGGACGGGGGGGCAGCAUUUCAAAUUUCACAUCGUGUCUAUGGGUUAAACGGAGCCUAUGUCCCUUUUUUUUACCUCUGUUGCCUAAAAGCGGCACUUAAAAGAAACUUCUGAGGCUCAAUUCGUGAGUUUCAGAAGCCAGGCAUUCCUUUACCUCGACGCCCUGCGCGGCCGCAGCACGACGGGUGCCCUGGGAAUCAUUUCACCAAAGUGCACACCGAGCUUUCCGCUCAUUAAGGGGAAGAGCCACAGUUUUGUGAGGGACAAGGAGCAGAUGAACUGAUCUACCACGACAGUUCCCAUGGAGCCAACGAGCCUGAGAAUGAAGGAAGUGAGAAAAUCAAAUGUCCAUGAAACCCACCACAACCACCACAAUUCUGCUUUCCUGUAGCUGCUGCAGGAGCUACAGUAAUUAAUUUAAUAAUUAGUGUUUAGUAACAGGGGACAGAUGCUGGCUCUGCACAAAAACACCUCCUCAAAGCUGUGCUCUCAUUGCUGCGUCAGGAAUAGUUCAGAGUCAGCUGACAAGAAUAAGGUGGCAAAAAGAUUGGCCACAAGCCUUAUUAGGUAAUUUCUGCUCCCAACUUCUUACUCAUACCUGGCACACAGAGGCAACGGAACAGGUAAAUGUUUGCCAUUAAGGAGGUUCUGAACUAACCACAGACUUUCAGCACUUAAGACAUUCAUGCUUUAAAAACUGGCUUAUGAAUCUAUUUUUUAUUAAACAACAUACUCCUUC